CAUGCAAGAGAUGUUUGAAUUUAAAAAUUGGAGCUCAUUAGAGGGUGUGGAACGACAUCUGCUGAUUAUUGGAAUAUCCCCCUACUACACAUAAUGGGUGUAUCAUGGAGAGUCAUUAAGCUAUAGAGGUACAGAAAACUUUGAGGAAGGAACUAGUAGUAAUCCUUUUAAUGAAGGAACUAGUAGUACACAAUUUAAUGAAGAAGGUGAUAUCUUUGGUAUGCUAAAUGAUCAUUUACAAGCCCCUAUUGAACAUGAAGAGGAAAUAGAGGAAUUUCAUUUGGAAGAUGAAAUGCCGAUGAAUGUUGGGGUAAAUAUAGAUGAAGAUACAACAAAUAAUAUAUUUCAGGACUUAUUGAAUCAAGCACGUAAUGAGUUGUACCCCGGUUGUUCUGAAUUUUCGUCGUUGAAUUUUUUGGUUAAGUUUAUGCAUGUGAAAGUUCUAAAAGGUUGGAGUAACAAGUCGUUCGACAUGUUGUUAGAACUCUUAAGAGCAGCGUUUUCAAUGUGUAAUAGUACUAUUCCUAGUUCAUUAUGCCAUAUCGACGAUCAAAUUUUAUGGAGACGGACGAUAUGUUCCUCCAGUUUGAGGAUGAUUUAGAUAACAUUGCGGGAGGGUCGUCAUCUGUGGGCGACAAUACGGGGUCUUCUUCUCAACAGACGACUCCGACUCCUAGGAAACGUGCGCAGUCUCGACUCUUGGAGUUAGAGCGCCACGUUACAAUAAAUGGGCGCAUUCCGAUGACGAUCGCCCCUGGAACGGAGAAGCCUAUUUCUCCACACGUCGUUCGCUUCAGCCAGGCGAUAGGCGUGUGCGUGUGAAAGACAUUUCCUGUCUGCUGUCUUAAGUGGGCGGACGUUGGGAGAGAAUACAUUGAGGUCGUCAAGGGCGACCUCCAGCGAUUGUUUGUGAUUGAUUUCAAUGAUCAAGCAAUGAAUAGGUUUGUUGAGCAUCAGAUGCUCACGACCUUUAAAGAGUUUCGAACCGACUGUCAUAGACAUUUCAAAAAGUACAGCGACCCGGAGGAGGCUCGUGCCAACCCACCAAACGCAUUGGUUGGACGUGAUGAGGAUUGACACUUCCUCUGCGACCAUUAUAUCAGUCGUGCAUUCCAGAAGCAAUCACGGAUGAACAAGGCUGCUAGACAGAAGCAGCCUUACAAUCAUAGUAGCGGGUCCAAGUCGUUUCUACAACGACAGUAUGAGCUCGCUGAAAGAAAAGGGCAGUCGGUCGAUCGUGUGGAAUUGUUCCUGGAAACACACGUUCGAGCCGGGACAUUCGUGUCGCAGGCCGCCGAGG